rnacentral:rRNA from 1 species
CGAGCGAAUGGAUUAAGAGCUUGCUCUUAUGAAGUUAGCGGCGGACGGGUGAGUAACACGUGGGUAACCUGCCCAUAAGACUGGGAUAACUCCGGGAAACCGGGGCUAAUACCGGAUAACAUUUUGAACUGCAUGGUUCGAAAUUGAAAGGCGGCUUCGGCUGUCACUUAUGGAUGGACCCGCGUCGCAUUAGCUAGUUGGUGAGGUAACGGCUCACCAAGGCAACGAUGCGUAGCCGACCUGAGAGGGUGAUCGGCCACACUGGGACUGAGACACGGCCCAGACUCCUACGGGAGGCAGCAGUAGGGAAUCUUCCGCAAUGGACGAAAGUCUGACGGAGCAACGCCGCGUGAGUGAUGAAGGCUUUCGGGUCGUAAAACUCUGUUGUUAGGGAAGAACAAGUGCUAGUUGAAUAAGCUGGCACCUUGACGGUACCUAACCAGAAAGCCACGGCUAACUACGUGCCAGCAGCCGCGGUAAUACGUAGGUGGCAAGCGUUAUCCGGAAUUAUUGGGCGUAAAGCGCGCGCAGGUGGUUUCUUAAGUCUGAUGUGAAAGCCCACGGCUCAACCGUGGAGGGUCAUUGGAAACUGGGAGACUUGAGUGCAGAAGAGGAAAGUGGAAUUCCAUGUGUAGCGGUGAAAUGCGUAGAGAUAUGGAGGAACACCAGUGGCGAAGGCGACUUUCUGGUCUGUAACUGACACUGAGGCGCGAA